CCCAGCGCACAAACGCAGAGAGACUAACUUAUGGCAACACAAAAGAAAACAUGGGAGCGGUGGAACGUGAUCUGUACUUAGUUCAUGAACUAAGUUCUGAUGAACCUUUGUGGGAAAGUACUGCAGUGUGAAAGCGCCUCUUGUUAGAGCAGCGAAUGGUGAAUAUGGAAGAGAGGCUGGGGGACACGGAAGACAGGACGGUGUGGCUGGAGCGUUCGGUCGCCUUCCUGCUUCAACAAGAGGCAAAGUUAGCUGCCAAGUGAGACGACUUGGAACCAAGGUCGAGACGCAACAAGUGCGGAUACAUGGCAUAACGGAGGGCUCUGAGAAAAAUGACACGAUAGGGUUUGUUUCUGGCUUUAUCCGCUCAUCACUACAAAUUCCGGUGGAGGUGGAUGUCCUUAUCGAAAUAAUUGUUCGCUUUCUAGAUUAUCAGGUGAAAGAGCAGGUUAUACAGCAGGCAUGGAAAAAAAGACUACAUAUGAGGGACAGACCAUCUACUUCAAUCAAGACUACACGAAUGAGGUUAAAAAAAAAGAGAAAGCAAGUGCGGGACGUAAUAAAAAAGUUAAAGGAGAAGAACGUGAAGGCAAAGUCCCCAUAUCCCGCACAGCUGAAAGUGUUUCUGGCAUCAGGGACUAAGACAUUCACUACAUUAAUGGAGGCUGCGCCCAUGCUGUGUUUGUUGUGCUGUUGCCUUGUGGACUAUUCUUCAUGCUUAGAUCGGACUAUUAUGACUCGCUCCGCGUUUAAAACAGACGGUGCAUGAAUGCAGUUUUACGGUCUUUUGGGGCGAGCAGAGAAAUUUUUCUGUUGUUCUUUACAUCUGUGAUCAUGUCCAUUCUACAGUACUGCAAUACUACCUGGUACAAAUGUCUGUCAGCAGCUUUAAAAUGAAAACUGCUCCACCUGUUAAAAAUCUGCUCAAAGAUUGUUGGUCAACCCUGUCAGAGACUCUAUGACUCAGCCUAUCAUAACAACCUAGUGAGGCUGUCCAACAACAUCAUCUCUGACCCAAACCAUGUUCUGAACUGUGAAUAUGAACUGCUACCAUCUAAUCGGAGAUACAGGGUCCCACAAUUCAAUAAGGUCAGACUGAAGCAGUCCUUUGUGCAUCAGUCAGUCCUCACAGUAAAUACAGAGCUAAAUCCCAGAUCAAAUGCACGCUGAAGGCUCUUUGAGCAGCUUUUCUCUCACUGAUUGUGCUGUUAUGUUAAUUUGUUGUUGUUUGUGUUUCAUGUAUUGUGUAUGUGUGGACAUGGAGCUGCUGUGACGCAAGUCAAAUUUUAGACUUGAUCUGACAAAUAAAGUAAUAUCGUAUCGUAUCGUAACUAAGAUGAUGUUAUGAUUUAUUUUUUGUUAGUAUGCAUGUGGACGCUUUGGACAUACCUGGAGAAGGAAGAAAUGGGUCUUCGGAAUGAUGGGAGUUAAAGACAAAAGCGCAGACUAGUGUUGAAACUAGUGGAGAAACGAUCAAGAUGCCACCUUGUCCCUCUGAUUAGACGGCACGUUAAGUCAGGAAGUAGCAUUAUUAGUGAUGAGUGGAGGGCAUACAGGAGAGUGCUGAGUAACAAGGGGUACAACCACUACACCAUAAACCACAGCAGGUGGUUUGUGAACCCUCAGACGGCAGUCAUAUCCAAAAUAUAGAAAGAGCUUGGUCGACCGUCAAAGGACAUGUCCGUAGACUGAGAGUAAACCGUACAGAGAGUUUGUUGGAGGAACACCUCAAGGGUCUUGAAUGGUCAUCUUGGCUUGGCUCUGCUCACCCUGAUGGACUGCUUGGACGCUUGUUCAAGAAUAUACACAAAGACUUUCCAGUCUGAGUGCCAUUAUGUCUUACCAAGUCUUUAAUUUAUGUCUGAGAAAAGCUUUUAUGUAUAAAUAUGUGCAUCACUCAUCAACAGUCAUUACUUUGAGUCCUAAUUUUCUUCAUGUGUGAAUAAAAUGUUUUGCUUGGC